UCCCGUACGUCAAUGUAAUCCACCCUCAUGUGAAUGAAAUUCACAUAAGGGUGGAUUACAUUGACGUAUGGGU
rnacentral:miRNA from 1 species